rnacentral:lncRNA from 1 species
CCUGUUUUAUAAUUAAUUCUUUAUAAAGCUGCCAGUAUAAAAGUAAUAUUGUUUUUACCCAGCAAUAAUGUGUAGUUCUGAACUUCAAAGCAGUUCUCGGGUCUAGUUGACCAGUUCUGGCCUGGUUUAUAUCUGGUUUCAUUACUCACAGCCCCUUUGAGUCAGUUAAUGGUUGUCUGUGAUGGGUCUUUUCCAGUGCACAUGUUUUCAUCUUCCAGAUUGGGACAACGAAUUGGUGUGUUACAAAGAAUUAAAUGAGGAUCUAACCUGUACCUGGCUGCCAGUACCUAGUGCUGCAAAUACAGUUAAUUACACUGUAUACUUAAAAUGGAACAAAAUACGAAAACUUUUUCAACGAAAAACAUCAUCACCUUCCAUCACAAUAGAACGGACGAAUCUCUACAUGGAGAGAUUUGUAUCCAUUUGGAUAGCAGUGAAUUAUGCUCAUGACACCUGUGCAAAAGGAAAGAAUAUCUCAAUUUUACCAAGCAAAGCAGGUGCCUGUAGGAAACAAUGUUGUCAAUGUCACCAUUUCAAAUUUAAAUGCUAUGUCUUCAUACAUUGUUCAGCUCAGAUGCAUAACCAAGGAUGGCCUCAACUGUGUUUGUGUUUGGAGCAGAGAGAUUUUGGUCCCUCACAGUAAGUGAAAUGUAGUUUCAUCCUACUGGUAUUAAGUAUGAAUGUAAAAGCUUUUCCAAAUUCUGUGCCAUAUCAAAUAGCAUUUUCGGAUAACUCUUGAGAAUAUGAAGAUCAGAAUUAUUCAUCUGAGUGCCUGUCUCCAACUUUCUCCAUGUUUACCAGAACUCAUGAACAAGCCCAGAAUAUCAUAUAAUGUAACUACACAAGUCUCUCCAGGAAGAAGAAGUGUUCUUCUGAGAUGGGAGGUAGCACAAAGUGAGAACGUCCUUGGAUAUUUUGUUAAUGUGGAAAGAAUACCCAACAGCUGCAGUCGCCCACCAAAUCACAUCUCUCUCAAAGACAGAAAAAUUCUUGUUAAUCUCUCCAUGGCUCACUAUAGAGUUAUUAUUUCUGCCUAUAAUGAAGCAGGAGAAUCUCCACAAGCCUUCUACAUUGUCCCAGAAUUCUCUGUAGCAGACUUGCCUGGUAAAAUCCAUGUCAAAAGCCAGGGAACUAGUGCAGUCGUCACAUGGACUCCAGAAUACAAUCCAAAAUGUUUUGUGGUUGACUGGGGCACUGGUAAAGAGGAUAUGCGCAUGAAAAUAAUAAACAGACCUACCAGCAAUUUCACAUUAGGUAACAGCAAACACUGCCUAUGGAGGCACCCUUUGAUUUCUUGGUUAAUUUUGGUUGGGCAGAGUAGGAUUUUUGUUCUGUUUUUAAGGGAAAACUGAAGAUCCUUCCAGAUAAGUACAGCUCUUAAUACCUGUCCAGUACUGAGUCACCAUCCAAUGCUUAGCAACAUUAAGGCAGUUAAAAAGCAGCAUUUUCAUGAGGGUUCUUCUGGAUACUGUUGGGCAAGAAAUGCAAGAAAUGCAGCUAAGCUGCUG